GACGAACGCUGGCGGCGUGCUUAACACAUGCAAGUCGAACGGAAAGGCCCUGCUUUUGUGGGGUGCUCGAGUGGCGAACGGGUGAGUAACACGUGAGUAACCUGCCCUUGACUUUGGGAUAACUUCAGGAAACUGGGGCUAAUACCGGAUAGGAGCUCCUGCUGCAUGGUGGGGGUUGGAAAGUUUCGGCGGUUGGGGAUGGACUCGCGGCUUAUCGGCUUGUUGGUGGGGUAGUGGCUUACCCAGGCUUUGACGGGUAGCCGGCCUGAGAGGGUGACCGGCCACAUUGGGCCUGAGAUACGGCCCAGACUCCUACGGGAGGCAGAAGGGGGGAAUAUUGCACAAUGGGCGGAAGCCUGAUGCAGCAACGCCGCGUGCGGGAUGACGGCCUUCGGGUUGUAAACCGCUUUCGCCUGUGACGAAGCGUGAGUGACGGUAAUGGGUAAAGAAGCACCGGCUAACUACGUG
rnacentral:rRNA from 1 species